rnacentral:rRNA from 1 species
AAUGAACGUUGGCGGCGUGGAUUAGGCAUGCAAGUCGAGCGAGAACCCAGCAAUGGGGGACAGCGGCGCAAGGGACAGUAAUGUGUAGAUUAUCUGCCCUCGGGUCCGGGAUAGCUGCGGGAAACUGCAGGUAAUACCGGAUAACAUCUCCGGAUCAAAGGUGUGAUUCCGCCCGAGGAUGAGUCUGCAUCCCAUUAGCUAGUUGGCAGGGUAAUGGCCUACCAAGGCGAUGAUGGGUAGCGGGUGGGAGAGCACGACCCGCGUCAUUGGGACUGAGACACUGCCCAGACACCUACGGGUGGCUGCAGUCGAGAAUCUUCGGCAAUGGGCGCAAGCCUGACCGAGCGACGCCGCGUGUGGGAUGAAGGCCUUCGGGUUGUAAACCACUGUCAGAGGGGAUGAAAUGCAGGUGGGUUCUCCCAUCUGUUUGACAUAGCCUCAGAGGAAGGACGGGCUAAGUUCGUGCCAGCAGCCGCAGUAAAAC